rnacentral:lncRNA from 1 species
GGUUAAUAUUCACAGUGAUUUUUAAACCUUAUUAGUGAGGUUAUAAUUGCUUUGAGUUUAGUCAUUUUAAUUUCAAGCCCACUUUAACAAGUAUCCUAACCAGGCUCUUUCUCAUUCUCUUAUUGAAAUGUAGAUUAAUUUUGGACUUCCAAUAACAAAGCUAGUUCUAAAUCCUGAGUAAUUGGUGUGGAUGCCCAGAAGAACUGAAUUAACUGCAUGAGCAAACUUCUUAAUAUUGUUUAG